AUCUUGCUCAGCUCCUCUUAGGAACCAAAUAUCUGGGUACCCCCAAAAUGUAUACAUUGAACCACUAUCCCUUAAUGUGGCUAUAGUUGGAGCUGGUGCCUCUAAGGAAGCAAUUAAGGUUCAAUGAGAUUAUGAGGGUGGAGUGCAAUCCAACAGGAUGAGUGUCCUUAGAAGAAGAGACACCAGAGAGCUCUCUCUCCCCCCACUCCCUCACACUCAGAGGACAGGCCUUGUGAGGACACAGUAAGAAGGCGGCCUCCCACAGCCCAGGGAAGAGCCCUCCCCAGAUGCUAGCCCUACUGGCCUAUGGAUCCUGCACUGCUGGUCUCAGCCCUUCUGGCACCAAGAUCCUGCACUCCUGGUCUCCCGAAGUGUGAGGGAUAAAUGUCUGCUGUUGGAGCUGCCCAGUCUGUGGCAUUUCCUUAUGGCAAAGAGAGCCAACUAAGACAACUCCUGACAUUCAUUAAGGAAAAUGGAAGAGCCAGUAACUCUGCUGCUUUAUCCUUCACAGAGGCAGGAAUCUGAAUUUCAUCAGGAUUUAAAACUGUCUGUCUCUGGAGGCUGGGUAAUGCUGACCAGGACAAGAUCAUUAUCUGUGGAGGCCCUUUCAUUUCAUCAUACUCUCAAGGCUGAAACUUGAUUUCUCCCUCAGAGCUCAAGGCAAGACCAAUUCUCUCCUCUGUGAACAAGAAACACAACAGCUGCUGUAAAAUCUUCAGUGUAAAUGGCAGACUUGCAGCUGCAGAAAAGCAAAGUCAUGGUACAACAGAAAAAUUUGAGAAACACUUCCAAAUCGCAAGUGAAAUUAAAAUAUAGAAGUGAAAAGUCAAGAACAGAGGCAGGUUGGAUGUGAAGGUCUUACAGAGCCAAACCACACACAGCAGAUGCUCCUGAGGAGAAAAUGAAGAAAGGAGCAGAAGUAGCAGCCAAAAACAUAAUAGAAGAAAACUUUCAAGGUGGAGAAAUUGAAAAUGCUGAGCAAAAAAAUAAUGCAGAGAGAGCAAUAAUGCCAGAGGGUGUUGUGCUACACUGAAGUUUGCACUUCAGGAAAAACAGGACAUCAGAAAAGCUCCCAAGAGGAAAAAAGUAAACAGAUUAUCUUCAAAUAAGCUAAAAUUAAGUUGUCUUCAAAUGUGUCUGCUGAAAUAAAAUAUGCCUCCAGACCAUGUGAUAUGGUUCCACUGUGUCCCCACCAAAAUCUCAUCUUGAAUUGUAGCUCUCAUGAUCCCCAAGUAUUGUGGGAGGGACCUGGUAGGAGGUAAUUAAAUCAUGGAGGUGGUUACUCUCAUUCUGUUCUCAUGAUAGAGUGUGAGUUCUCACAAGAUCUGAUGGUUUUAUAAUGGGCUUUUUCCUCUUUGCUCAGCACUUCUCCUUCCUGCCAUCAUGUGAAUAAGGACAUGUUUUCUUCCCCUUCCACCAUGAUUGUAAGUUUCCCUAGGCCUCCCCAGCAGUGAAGAACUGUGAGUCAAUUAAAUCUCUUUCCUUUAUAAAUUACCCAGUCUCAGGCAGUUCUUUACAGCAGCGUGAGAAUGGACUAAUACACCAUGGGAUAACUGAUACUGGCAUAUCUGUGUGGGAAACCCCAGGACCUGAGAACUUUCUGGCCAUUUCUAAAAUCUCCAGAUGGCUGCACCUGUCACCUCUUCUGUAAAAGCUGCUUGAACGGAAUCCUUCAAAAUACCAAACAGGACAGCAGGGACAUCACCAUAGAAAGAAUUGGGCUGGAAUGAUAAGCCAGAUUUUUUAAAAGAAGAAAUAUGUGGACAGAAAAUAUGUGACUGAAACACCAGGAGUUUGAUGUUGGUCUUGUUGCUCACUGCACAGAAAGCCAGUCACUGAGACAAUGAAUACUGCAGGGAAGAAGGAAGGCUUCAUGCAGGUGUGCAGCUGAGGAGGAAGAGGAGAUGAAGACACAGAUAUGCACAGAGGGGCAGCCCUGUGAGGACACGCGAAGACGGCGUGUGCGAGCCAGGGAGACAGAAACCAACUGUGACAACCCCUGAUCUCAGACUGCCAGCCUCCAGAGCUGGGGGAAAGUACGUUUCUGCUAUUGAAGCCCCCAGUCUGUGGUGCCGGGUUACGCGCCAGUACCCACAUGCCAGCCGAGACAGCAAUAGCGAGACACUCCGGACAGGUGAAGGGCGUGCGGCCUUCCCACCACCCACCUGAAAACACUGCCUAAAGAUGAGCCCAGUCCACAAAGCCUGCAUGAAAUGACGCGUUCAACAGCAGGAAAGACCUGGAUGGCAUAAAAAGAAAAAGAGUCAGGGAGACCAAGUCAGGCGAGGGGAGAAUGAGACUGGAAAUGGUUUGGCUGUGUCCCUACACAAAUCUCAUCUUUAAUUGCAGCUCCCAUAAUUCCCAUGUGUUGUGGGAGGGACCCAGUGGGAGAUAAUUGAACCGUGGGGGUGGUUUGCACAUAGCGUUCUCAUGGUAGUGAAUAAGUCUCCUGAGAUCUGAUGGUUUUAAAAGGGGAAACUCCUCUCGCUUGACUCUCAUUCUGUUUUGUCUGCCGCCACGUAAGACGUGCCUUUCGCCUUUCACCAUGAUUGUGAGGCUUCCCCAGCCACGUGGAACUGUGUGUCUGUUAAACCUCUUUCUCUUCAUAAAUUA